rnacentral:rRNA from 1 species
UACGUAGGGUGCAAGCGUUAAUCGGAAUUACUGGGCGUAAAGCGUGCGCAGGCGGUUGUGCAAGACAGAUGUGAAAUCCCCGGGCUUAACCUGGGAACUGCAUUGGUGACUGGCAGGCUUUGAGUGUGGCAGAGGGAGGUAGAAUUCCACGUGUAGCAGUGAAAUGCGUAGAGAUGUGGAGGAAUACCGAUGGCGAAGGCAGCCUCCUGGGCCAACACUGACGCUCAUGCACGAAAGCGUGGGGAGCAAACAGG